rnacentral:rRNA from 1 species
AGAUUGAACGCUGGCGGCAUGCUUUACACAUGCAAGUCGAACGGCAGCACGGGGGCAACCCUGGUGGCGAGUGGCGAACGGGUGAGUAAUACAUAGGAACGUAUCCUGAGAUGGGGGAUAGCUCGGCGAAAGCCGGAUUAAUACCGCAUACGAGUCCGACGGAUGAAAGCAGGGGAUUCGCAAGAACCUUGCGUUUCUGGAGCGGCCUAUGUCUGA